rnacentral:rRNA from 1 species
UACAGAGGUCCCAAGCGUUAAUCGGAAUUACUGGGCGUAAAGCGUGCGUAGACGGUUAUUUAAGUCGGAUGUGAAAGCCCCGGGCUCAACCUGGGAAUUGCAUUCGAGACUGAAUAGCUAGGGUGCGGUAGAGGGAAGCGGAAUUUCCGGUGUAGCGGUGAAAUGCGUAGAUAUCGGAAGGAACAUCAGUGGCGAAAGCGGCUUCCUGGACCAGCACCGACGUUCAGGCACGAAAGCGUGGGGAGCAAACAGG